GACAUAUCACGUCGAAACACCGGUUCCUGUAUGAUCACCGAAGUUAAGCAACGUCGAACGUCAGUAUCUAGAUGGGUGACCGCUUGGGAAUAUCAGGUGCUGUAAG